rnacentral:rRNA from 1 species
GCCCUACGGGCGGCAGCAGUGGGGAAUAUUGGACAAUGGGCGCAAGCCUGAUCCAGCCAUGCCGCGUGAGUGAUGAAGGCCUUAGGGUUGUAAAGCUCUUUCGACGGGGACGAUGAUGACGGUACCCGUAGAAGAAGCCCCGGCUAACUUCGUGCCAGCAGCCGCGGUAAUACGAAGGGGGCUAGCGUUGUUCGGAAUUACUGGGCGUAAAGCGCACGCAGGCGGUCUGAUCAGUCAGAAGUGAAAGCCCCGGGCUUAACCUGGUACCUGCUUUUGAGACUGUCAGGCUUGAAUCACGGAGAGGGUAGUGGAAUUCCGAGUGUAGAGGUGAAAUUCGUAGAUAUUCGGAAGAACACCAGGGGCGAAGGCGACUACCUGGCCGUCGAUUGACGCUCAUGUGCGAAAGCGUGGGGAGCAAACAGGAUUAGAUACCCUUGUAGUC